CCUACGGGAGGCAGCAGUGAGGAAUAUUGGUCAAUGGGCGCGAGCCUGAACCAGCGACGCCGCGUGAGGGAGGACGGCCCUACGGGUUGUAAACUCUUUUUGCCGGGGAGCAACGGGCGUUACGUGUGUCGCCACUGACAGUACCCGCAGAAAAAGCAUCGGCUAACUCCGUUCCAGCAGCCGCGGUAUUACGGGGGAUGCGAGCGUUCUCGGGCUUUAUUGGGUUAAAGGGGUGCGUGGGCGGAGCGUAAGGUCAGUGGGAAAAUUGAGGGGCUAAACCCCUUCCCGCCGUUGAAACUGGCGAGCUUGAGUGGAGGAGAGGUAAGCGGAAUUCGUGGUGUAGCGGUGAAAUGCGUAGAUAUCACGCAGAACACCAGUUGCGAAGGCAGCAUGCCGGAUUGCGACUGACGCUGAGGCACGAAAGCGUGGGGAUCAAACAGGAUUAGAUACCCCAGUAGUC
rnacentral:rRNA from 1 species